rnacentral:rRNA from 1 species
CGGGGAGCACCACAACAGGUGGAGCCUGCGGUUUAAUCGGACUCAACGCCGGGAAGCUCACCGGAUAAGACAGCGGAAUGAUAGCCGGGCUGAAGACUCUGCUUGACUAGCUGAGAGGAGGUGCAUGGCCGUCGUCAGUUCGUACUGUGAAGUAUCCUGUUAAGUCAGGCAACGAGCGAGACCCACGCCAACAGUUGCCAGCAUGUCCUCCGGGAUGGUGGGGACACUGUUGGGACCGCCUCUGCUAAAGAGGAGGAAGGAAUGGGCAACGGUAGGUCAGCAUGCCCCGAAUUAUCCGGGCUACACGCGGGCUACAAUGGUCAGGACAAUGGGCAUCAACACCGAAAGGUGAAGGCAAUCUCUUAAACCUGUCCUUAGUUCGGAUUGUGGGCUGCAACUCGCCCACAUGAAGCUGGAAUCUGUAGUAAUCGCGUCUCAAAAUGGCGCGGUGAAUAUGUCCCUGCUCCUU